rnacentral:rRNA from 1 species
AGUCAACAUGCCCAGAGGACGUGGAUAACCUCGGGAAACUGAGGAUAAACCGCGAUAGGUCAUAAUUACUGGAAUGUGUUAUGGCCCAAAUCUAUAUGGCCUCUGGAUUGGACUGCGGCCGAUCAGGCUGUUGGUGAGGUAAUGGCCCACCAAACCUUUUACCGGUACGGGCUCUGAGAGGAGUAGCCCGGAGAUGGGCACUGAGACAAGGGCCCAGGCCCUAUGGGGCGCAGCAGGCGCGAAACCUCUGCAAUAGGCGAAAGCCUGACAGGGUUACUCUGAGUGAUUCCCGCUAAGGGAAUCUUUUGGCAUCUCUAAAAAUGGUGCAGAAUAAGGGGUGGGCAAGUCUGGUGUCAGCCGCCGCGGUAAUACCAGCACCCCGAGUGGUCGGGACGAUUAUUGGGCCUAAAGCAUCCGUAGCCGGUCUUGCGAGUCUUCCGUUAAAUCCAGCUGCUUAACAGAUGGGCUGCGGAGGAUACUACAAGGCUAGGAGGCGGGAGAGGCAAGCGGUACUCAGUGGGUAGGGGUAAAAUCCUCUGAUCCAUUGAAGACCACCAGUGGCGAAGGCGGCUUGCCAGAACGCGCUCGACGGUGAGGGAUGAAAGCUGGGGGAGCAAACCGGAUUAGAUGCCCGGGUAGUCCCAGCUGUAAACGAUGCAGACUCGGUGAUGGGCCGGCUUUAUGCCGGCUCAGUGCCGCAGGGAAGCCGUUAAGUCUGCCGCCUGGGGAGUACGGUCGCAAGACUGAAACUUAA